rnacentral:rRNA from 1 species
UGGGGAAUAUUGCACAAUGGAGGGAACUCUGAUGCAGCGACGCCGCGUGAGUGAUGAAGGACUUCGUUUCGUAAAACUCUGUUCUAUGGGAAGAAAAGGACUGUACCAUAGGAGAAAGCUCCGGCUUAAUACGUGCCAGCAGCCGCGGUAAUACGUAUGGAGCGAGCGUUGUCCGGAAUUAUUGGGCGUAAAGGGUGCGCAGGCGGCUUUACAAGUUGGAUGUGAAAUAUUGUGGCUCAACCACAAACGUGCAUCCAAAACUGCAAAGCUUGAGUUAAGGAGAGGUAAGUGGAAUUCCUGGUGUAGCGGUGGAAUGCGUAGAUAUCAGGAGGAAUACCGGUGGCGAAGGCGACUUACUGGACUUAAACUGACGCUCAGGCACGAAAGCGUGGGGAGCAAACAGG